rnacentral:rRNA from 1 species
CCCUUAGAUGUUCUGGGCCGCACGCGUGCUACACUGAGUGGAUCAGCGGGUCAGGUUGCGCGAAAGUGUUUCCUAAUCUUGAAAUCCGCUCGUGAUGGGGAUUGACGGUUGCAAUUUUCCGUCAUGAACGAGGAAUACCUUGUAAGCGCGGGUCAUCAUCCCGCGCUGAAUACGUCCCUGCCCUUUGUACACACCGCCCGUCGCUCCUACCGAUUGAGUGGUCCGGUGAGGCUUUGGGAUCUGAACGGAAAGAGCGUUUCGCUGUUUCUGCUCGGAAAACUCAGUCGAACCUUAUCAUUUAGAGGAAGGAGAAGUCGUAACA